rnacentral:rRNA from 1 species
GAUUAUCCUCUGUGCAGCAUACUCCUACGGGAGGCAGCAGUGGGGAAUAUUGCACAAUGGGCGCAAGCCUGAUGCAGCGACGCCGCGUGGGGGAUGAAGGCCUUCGGGUUGUAAACUCCUUUCAACCAUGACGAAGCGUAAGUGACGGUAGUGGUAGAAGMAGCACCGGCUAACUACGUGCCAGCAGCCGCGGUAAUAUGCCACCGGCCUAGGUAAUA